GUCUACGGCCAUACCACCCUGAACGUGCCCGAUCUUGUCUGUUCUUGGAAGCUAAGCGGGUCGGUCCUGGUUAGUACUUGGAUGGGAGGCAAAAAUAAGACACCUUACUCU
ensembl:rRNA 5S_rRNA 5S ribosomal RNA